ACUUGUUAAAAUGACUUGAUGUAAGGUCUUCUAGUUAGUAAUUGUUAUGUCUUGAAACAUAGAGGUAAUGAUAGAUGAAAACUGGGGGGAAGUUUUUUCUGGGGAAAAAAAAAAAAAAUCAGAGGAGAAAGAAAGACAAUGAUAGGACCACACUUGUAUUUCUUGUAGGCUCAUUCUCGAACUAGCAAUCUUUUCUUUGUAUGUUCGUCUAAGUUGGAGACUAGUGGAGCGGGCUGGUGAUUACCCUAUUCAUGAGCUUGUAUGAGAAGUCCUUGAGGAUCCUGUGCUGAGACUGGUUCCUCAUGUUGGCUAUGUCAGCCUUUUCCUGUUUAUUGGAUUCAUGGAUUUUAGAAAAACAACUUGAUCUCAUUUCAAACAGAAGUGCUCUGUGGACCGACUUUGGACUCAAAUCUCUUGCCAAGACAAGCACACUGUACAUGAUACGCAACACUGAGCACGAUCCACCAUAUUGGAGAGGGACAAUUUGGAUGAACAUGAAUUAUUUGGUUCUUUCUUCACUUAACCACUAUUCUAAAGUUGAUGGACCAUACAGAGGGAGAGCAAAGACUGUCUACAGUGAUUUGAGGGAUAAUUUGAUAAGACAAUAUGAACAGGAUAAAGAGGAAAGGUUUUAAAAUCUUGUACGUUGUGUUCGGUAGUGCAGCGCAUAUCAAACAUACAUUUUAUUAUGAUCAGAAGAAUGGAAAAGGAAAAGGAAAAGGAAAAGGUGCGCGCCUCUUUACUGGUUGGACGUCACUUGUGCUGUUGAUCAUGGCAGAAGCAUAUAACGAAUGUUAGUACAUGCUAGCAAAAGGCAAAAUCCUCUCCACAAUUGCAUUGGAUCGUGCAAAUCAGACUUCAGUUGCAGUUGACUUGACUUGACACAGUGUAUGUGAUUCAAUAUCAGUGUUAGAUUAUAGAAACAGGAUCACAGGACAGCCUAGACACACAGAAUUGUAACUUAUAUCGAUCAAAUUUGAAUGUGCAGUUACAUGAUUAUUAUUUUUUUUUGGCCUCGGGCAUGUAAUUCAAAGGCGAUAUGAUCCCAAGCUUCAAUUACGUUUCUGAUAGCAAUGGUACAUGAAUGUCAAAGCCUUGUUAUAUCAAGGUUUUUUCCUCAACUAUCAACCCUGUAUAGCGUUACAAAGAAUAAAGGUUUAGAAUGGCGUCACAAGAUUUUCCGACCUCUACCUCAAUAUAAAUGGAUGAACACAAUACUCACAUCAGUUCUAUCUUCCUUGAAAGUAUCUUGAAAUUGGAUUGUGUUGGCAUAAUGAUACAGAAAAUGCACUCUUCUCAUUUACUUCUAGAUGUAAAAUAAUUUCCAGUUCAUUUCCCG